UACGUAGGUGACAAGCGUUGUCCGGAUUUACUGGGCGUAAAGAGCGCGCAGGCGGUCGUUCAAGUCGAGUGUGAAAGCCCCCGGCUCAACUGGGGAGGGUCACUCGAUACUGAUCGACUCGAAGGCAGGAGAGGGAAGUGGAAUUCCAGGUGUAGCGGUGAAAUGCGUAGAUAUCUGGAGGAAUACCGGUGGCGAAGGCGGCAUCCUGGACCGGCAUUGACGCUGAAGCGCGAAAGCUAGGGGAGCAAACGGGG
rnacentral:rRNA from 1 species